UUGGACAAUUGGGCUUUGUUUGCUUUGUCCAGACCGAGCCGAGGCUUGGUAGCUCUAUAGGACAGCUGGGGUAGUUGGUUCGUACGCGUAAUAAAGAGGCUAAGAAAUCAAGCGAUUUCCGCGCGCUGCCAGAACUUGCCUUUUCUGGACGUGGGAAAACAGUCGGGAAUUCUUUUCCUCUUUUGGGGUGAGGGCUGGUUUGGACUAACCAGCCCCCGGAGGCUGCCUAGUCAGGUCCUAUUUUUUUUUAAUCCGCCUCUUCUCCAGUUCUCCUCCUCCUCCGUCGCCGGUUGACCACGUCUCUUCCCGGGCCCCUCACCUCUCCUUCUUCCUCACCAGCAGCCUCUCCCUUCUCUGCUCAGCCGAUCUUGGCUCCCCCUCUUCCCUCCACGCAAGGCGCCAGAACCCAUGGGCCAUGGCGUUAGGCGGCCUAUCACAGGCGCGGCGGCGCCCCCCGCACCCUCACCUCCUCAGAUGUGAUGGCUGGCAACCUCGCCUGCCUAAUCCCUUUAGGUGGUUGCCCUGGCCGCGAGGCAGCGGCGAAGUCUGCAGUUCCUCUCACAACGGAAGUGGCGCGAAUUUCCACUAGCCGAAGCUCCUCCGUUGCCGCUGGCCGUCGCGUUGGUCGGAUCUUCCUUCGAUAUCGUCGUCGUUGCCUCCCCCAUCCCCUGCCCCGCCUCUUCUCGGCAACGAGUCGUCGCUCACGUAAGCCGGCACACCGGCUCCGGACGCGUCUGCCACUGCGGAAACGAGCGAUGCGGUCCCGUCCUCCUGGAGGCGUCGCGGCCCUCACGCUCGGGGCGCCGACGAGCUCCUACAUGCACGCGCCGUCAGCAGGCGCGAAGUGCUGACCUGACGGAGAUGGCGCGGUCGUUGCGCUGGAACAACGCGCGCUGCGUCUGGGGAUGAUACCACGAGAGUUGGCAUGGAGCUGAGGCGGAGCAGCAUCGGCGUCACCGCGUGCCUAACCGGGAGUGCGGCCAACAAGUCCUGCAGGGGCGCGCCGGGCUGAUGGAGGUUGCUGUUGAGGGACAUCAGGCCCUUCGGAUCCGGAGGGAGGCGAUACUGAUCCAGAGGAGGAUGAAUUCAUGUAUGCGUCAGCCCCCAGGUUAGACUGCUGACUGUGUGUGUUUGUUUUAUUUGAAGUUGUUUCAGUGUUCGGAUUGGUGUGAGUUUUAAUCGAAUUUGACUAGAACGUCAUAUGUUACUCCAGUCCAGCUUAAUGAGGGCGCGUAGGGGUACUUGCAAACCAGGUACCAGUAAGUCACUUGCACUUGAGCCAAUGCAGAACAGGAAUCCAGACAACAGUAAUACUGUUUGUUUACAUGUGAAUUGUGUUUACUGCUAAACACUUUGAUGUAGUGCUUAUCAUUCUGCUGUUUCCUAUGUAUCCAUGAUCAUCGAUGGUUCUGAGCUGUUCACCGCAGUAGAGUGUGUUUGUUUACAUGUGAAUUGUGUUAAUUGUCAUCGCCCAAGAAAGAGGUGUAGACUCCUAAAAUGCUUACCGUAUUAUUUAUCAUCCUUUAUGGGGCAUGGAUCUAAGAGGAGCCACUCCAUCUUUGUGUCUUUGUUAGUGAUUUUUCCUCCUUUCUAAUUUGAGCUUUGCAAAGUCUUGGAGUGGACUGUUUCAUUCACACCUUACAGAUGCUUUAUGUUAUCCUCUGUACGGUCGUGUGCUGCCCACGAAAAAACAAUCUCCAGAUGCAUGAUCCCACUUCCCAGGUGCCUGCGAGCACAGAAGGAGCUCUCUGCGUUGAGUAACAGAUUUCAGAACUGUAUUUAUUUUUCCAUCUCUGCUUUUCGAUGAAAAUUAGUUUUGUUUUCUUAUGGCUGCAUGUAAGCAAGCCUGAGUCAAAGCUGAACAAACCCAGGAAACAAUUUAGUCCCGAUAUGAUGUUUUUCUCAUGAAAUGUAUUGUGAUUCUUUUGCCAUAACUGGACCUUUCUUUCUGACCUCUUGAAAGUCUCUGAUCUUUCUUUUCCUUCCUUAAACGUUCCACAAAUUAGGAAGAAUCUGGAAAAAAUGUUUCCUAAUCAGGACACAUAAUUCCAAUUGGAAAUUUCCUUCGUGUGCAACGAACACUACCUUCUUUCCUCUAGGAUUUCUCUUUUCUAUUUUUACCCUUUGUUGCACAUACGCAAACGAGCCCUGCCGCCGCGUUUCCGUCAUGACCAGAAACAUAGACGAACAUGGAGAUUGACUGACGUACAUUUCGAUUUAGGGCGGCUUGAAAUUUUGCGCAGGCGAGAUUUUUCAGUCCUCAUGAAGGCUAUCUUUUCUUCCAUUUUCGAUUUGGUUCAAGUAUUAUGUGGUACUGCUACAAGACAAUUAGUUCUGAUUUUGUAUAACCAAAUUUCAAGUGUUGAUAAUUGUAUUUGUUGUAUAAAGAGAACAUGGAAUGCACAGUUAUUUGACAUCGUUUUUUUCCUCAUGGUUCCUAUUUUUAUAGCUCCACAUGUGAGUUGCUGCUUAAGACAGACUUCAUAGCCUGUGUUGAUUAUUUUGAUCAUUAAGUUGUCUCAUCUAAAUUACCAUCUCUACCCAGUCCUUAAUACUUCCACUGCAAUAUUAAUUAACUGAAUGUUCCUCCCGUUUUGGAUUCUUUGUCGGUAGUAGUAAAGAAACCUGCAGCUCCUCACCUGGACGGUGCUCCUCCACCCUGUGGAUGGUCUGUCACCGCAAGGUGAGCACUCGAUAAUCAGCAGUGCUAGCGCCUGCUCCGGAUCAGGGAGCAUGGCAUCGCCUGGAAGCCGUCCUGCCACCACCCAAACAACGGCGAGAACGUCAACGCUGCAGUCGCGAGGUGGAGCUCUGAGAACCGUGGUAGCGAAGGAAUCCCGUAGUAGAAGCUGGUGAUUUUUGUCAUUGCACAUCACAAUUUCUGGUGACGCGUAUGUGAAGUCUAUUGCAAUUUUUAGAAGUGAAGGAAAACAUGGAGGCAAGCAACUGCAUUCCAUAAAAGUGAGAUUUAUUUUCCAAAAUUUCAUGCACCUAUGCAUAUACGGUAUAUAUUAAUAUUCACAAAGCCGUAGAGAUUGGAUCUUCUCUGAGAGUUUACUCAAUUUGAUCUAUAGAUGCUUACUACAUCUUCGAACCAACGUAAAUAAAUACCCUCCCUACGGUAUUCUCAAUUUUUAUUUUCCCUGUAGGAAUUAGUAUACACAUGCAUUUUGGGUGUCUGCAUGUACUUAUUACAUUCUUUUGUUUAUCAGAUCAGCAAGACCUCUACCAGUCAUAUACAGAUGUUUAGAUUAAGAAAAUUCUCGACUAAGGCAUAUCUAAAUCAAUAAAAUGUAGAAAUAGAAGCAGUGAAAUGCUACACCAGUAUCACCAGUUCAGCGCCAAGAGAGUAGCACACUUGGAACCCUGAAAGGCUGAAAACACAAGAUAUUACAAACAAUAAUACCUCCUGCCCUAAAUCCUGAAUCCUCUGUUAAAAUGAAUUUUAUUGCUGAUACAUGAUAGAAAAUUUGACUUCACAUAUUCUGAGUGUCUUUGUCUCGAUGCAUAUCUAAUUGGUGCAUAUGCAGUAACACUGCAUAUACUAGAGCACAAAAAUCGGGUUUUAUUUUCAGAAUCUGUGGCCGUAAGUGCACACGUUUCUAACUUCCGGUUUGCUAUUUUAACUACUUCAGUGACUGCCCACCAGUAAACAAGGUUAUUUCAUUGCAAGAGAAUCAUACUGUGGCUAAUGUUGACAUGGAUGCUUUGCAGUUUAAAGAUCGGAGCUUGCUACCUGGAAAAAAGUACUUUUACCUCUCACUGCUCUUCCUAUUCUGCCAGGAACUAAUUGAGACAUCAUUUUAUCAUUGAUUUCUGUUUCAUUAACUGAAGCUUGGUCUCCUCUUCUUAACUGCAAACAUGGUUUUGAAAUCAUAUUGAUGCAGUAAAAACCAUUUUUUGCACCAGAUAUGUGGUGACAACAAAUAAAGACUACAUACUAUGAUUAUCAUUUACCUUUUGAACAUGCCCUUAUGUACAUUGUGCUUACUUACCAUGUUAGAAACUAUAUUCGAAAGAGCAUGAUUGAAACAUACUUUUCUUGCAGAUAGCAGAAUGUGUAUCCAAGAGAGACCACUUGCUGAUAAAAUGAUCAAGUACAGUGUCUUAAAAUCUUUUGGAUUUCCUUUGGAUUGCCAAGUUUUCUUUUUCACAACAUGGAUUGAUAAUCAAACACUAGAUGGUGUUGUUCCACUGUUUUUUUUCCUGUACUUUAUCUUGGAUAUGAAAUUAGGAGAAUCCUGGGUGGCAUCUCUUGAUAGAAUCACUAAGGAUUCUCAGCUACAUCAAGUACUUCUAAGAAAAAUGUCUAGCUGUGAAGAAGCAGCACUUGAUUACUGUAAUAUUACCUCUAUGUAACUAUUAUAGGUACUUCUAUUAGCUUACCUGUUAUGACUUCUAGAAUUAAUCACUGGCACUAUUGUACUGCUUAGGCUUGCAUUCCUCCAUAUAAACAACCUAUAGGUUCAGAUGUUAUCACAGAAUUAUUAUGUGUCUUUCUUGGUUGGAAAAUUGUUGUGCAUGUA